CNCAAGCCUGAUGCAGCCAUGCCGCGUGUAUGAAGAAGGCCUUCGGGUUGUAAAAGUCUUUCAGCAGUGAGGAAGGUGGGUAUGGUUAAUAGCAUACUCAUUUGACGUUAGCUGCAGAAGAAGCACCGGCUAACUCCGUGCCAGCAGCCGCGGUAAUACGGAGGGUGCGAGCGUUAAUCGGAAUUACUGGGCGUAAAGCGCAUGCAGGUGGUUUGUUAAGUCAGAUGUGAAAGCCCGGGGCUCAACCUCGGAAUUGCAUUUGAAACUGGCAAACUAGAGUACUGUAGAGGGGGUAGAAUUUCAGGUGUAGCGGUGAAAUGCGUAGAGAUCUGAAGGAAUACCGGUGGCGAAGGCGGCCCCCUGGACAGAUACUGACACUCAGAUGCGAAAGCGUGGGGAGCAAACAGGAUUAGAUACCCUGGUAG
rnacentral:rRNA from 1 species